rnacentral:rRNA from 1 species
UACGGAGGGUGCAAACGUUGCUCGGAAUCAUUGGGCGUAAAGCGCACGUAGGCGGUCUUUUAAGUCGGGUGUGAAAGCCCUCAGCUUAACUGAGGAAGUGCAUUCGAAACUAGAGGACUUGAAUACUCAAGAGGGUCUCGGAAUUCCCGGUGUAGAGGUGAAAUUCGUAGAUAUCGGGAGGAACACCAGUGGCGAAGGCGGAGACCUGGGGAGAUAUUGACGCUGAGGUGCGAAAGCGUGGGGAGCAAACAGG